rnacentral:rRNA from 1 species
UACGUAGGCAGCGAGCGUUGUUCGGAGUUACUGGGCGUAAAGGGUGUGUAGGCGGUUGUUUAAGUUUGGUGUGAAAUCUCCCGGCUCAACUGGGAGGGUGCGCCGAAUACUGAAUGACUCGAGUGCGGGAGAGGAGAGUGGAAUUCCUGGUGUAGCGGUGAAGUGCGUAGAUAUCAGGAGGAACACCGGCGGUGUAGACGGCUCUCUGGACCGUAACUGACGCUGAGGCACGAAAGCGUGGGUAGCAAACAGG